rnacentral:lncRNA from 1 species
UAACUGUCAGGCCACUUUAAGCCACAGUACGGAAGAAGCUGUGCUGCCUGUGAGCCCCGUCCAAGGACGUUAAAAGAAGAAGUCAGGCCCCAAAGCCACGGUUUGAGCAAACCGUGCUGCCUGUAGCUCCGUCGUGGGGACGUAAAACCUGGGAGGCUGCAAACUGUGGAAGCUGUACGCACGGUGUAGCAGACUAGCGGUUAGAGGAGACCCCUCCCAUGACACAACGCAGCAGCGGGGCCCGAGCACUGAGGGAAGCUGUACCUCCUUGCAGAGGACUAGAGGUUAGAGGAGACCCCCCGCAAACAAAAACAGCAUAUUGACGCUGGG